UGUCAGAUGAUGUGUCCUAAUGAAAAGAUUUAAAAAGUCAGAACUAACUAUCCUAAUGGAGACUAUGUGCAACGAAGGUAAGUCCCAUAUCCCAGUGAUUAGCAGGUUCAUUGUGCAGUUGAUGUGAAACAGGGUAAUUCUACUACGCUGGCCACCCAGCUAACUCAGUCCUGGAUGAAAAUACACAAAUGGCUUGUUAACCUCUUUAAUUAUACUUCAUCUACUAUUAUGGGGCCCACUUGAGAAAAUGCAUACUUCAUCUGCUCCAUACACCCCUUCCUUCUCUCCUUUUGCUUUCCCUAUCAAAAACCUGGUGGGUAAAUUUUCAUAUCAGAGAAAUACGUCUAAAUUAUUAUGAAUGCUAGCAAUAUACCAUGUGUUUCCCUGCUGUUAGUCGAAUUGCAUAAAACCCAUACCAAACUUUCUAAGAACUGCAAUUGCCUGAAUGAUGAUCUCUGAAACUUUGAUUGGGGGAGGGGAGGGCUUUCUUUCUGUUUAAUAUCCAGAAUAUCAAGGAAAUUGCUCUAGAUCAUAAACUCAAUGAUAACAUCUUUAUCUGGUUUUUGCCAUAGUCCUCAGAAUGAAUGCUCUAAUAUUUAGACUAUGGAAGUUUAAAUAUUACUGAUAGAUUUCAUAGCUACAAUGACAGCAGUGUUGGGAAAAUUUGGAGGGGUGUGUUUUCUUUAUCCAAGGAUCCAUGAGAAUGGAUCCUAUGUAAAUGAAUGCUUCCUUGGAUAGGAUGUUCAGAAUAGCCAAAAGAAUGUACCAUUAGUAAUGGAGAGUCCUACUGUGUCACUUUUUCUCAUUUUCAAAAAAAUGAUAAUAACUACUCUGUUCUUUUAAUUUCCAUAUCUGUACUUUCCAGACACACUUAGGUAGAGAUUUGGGAGGGAAUUAUCACAAUAACAGUACAUUUAACUACUUUUCCUUAACCAAGUAUUCACCUCUUUGAAUCUGACUGAAGUAAUUUGAGAGAAGUGAAAGUUCCUAUUUAGUCCUGUCAGGACAGUGAGGUUUCCAUUAAAGAAAUGCACAGACUCUGUAUGAUAACCAUUCUACAGACCAAAGUUAGUAAUGCCACCAUCUUGUUUUCAAUGCCAUCUAACUUUUAUUUCAGUUGAAGAAUUAGACUAGCAUUGUCACAUGCUGCUUGACUUAGGUCAUGUCAGCUAAAUUCCUGCGAAAAGUAAGGUUUUCGCAAUAAAAGGAUACACUUUGUUUUGCUUUUUGUCUUCAAUUCAGCAGUAAGUUCUUACAAAGGUAUAUCAUUCCUCCCAGUUUGUGAGGUAUGGGUCAUCGCUGGGGUCAGAAAGGGUCUUUACUUGCCAUAGGAGAAACAAAAUUUGCCAAAUCAUUUGUGCUUUAGUAUUUUACUUAAAACUGUUUUGUUUUCUUUUGUUUUUUGUUUUCUACUUGAAAUAAAUCUUGCCCAUUUUUUCUUCUGCCUACUUAUUGAUAACUUUUUCUAGAAACUCACUAUAAAAUCUGUAUGUUCGAAACUUAAAUGGAGUUGAUUAGCACCUUCUUUUAUAAUGAUGCUUAUCAUUUUUAACUAGCCUGGGUUUUCAUGGAAACUAUAAAAAAAAAGCAUCUGUUGGUUAUGUAUUGAUAUUUAAAAUACCUGGACCAUCUCUAUGAUGUUACAUCAAAAUAGAUGACCAGUGUACUCAAUAUUAAAACAUAGCUGUGUCCUUUUCAUUUGUCAGAGUGGAAUGAAAUACACAUAUACACACACAUAUAUACUGCUCUCUCUCUCUCUCUCUCUCUCUCUCUCUCUCUCUCUCUCUCUCUCUCUGUAUCACACACACACACACACACACACACACACACACACACACACAUAUCAUUGUGUAUACCAGGAUAAGACUUGUAGGAUUCAGUUAUGUUGAUUGGCAGCUACAUCGCAUUUGUGACACUUCCACGGCCUUCUCUCCCUCCACCCUUCCAUCCUGCCUUUAUUUUCUUUUUUAUACUGGUGCUACAGGUUGAAGCCAGGUGCCUGGGCAUUCCAGACAGCACAGGUGCCUGAGAGUUCUAGACAGCACACAGCUGUAUCUCCCCAGACCCUUGCACUGGUAAUUUAAUAGAUUCUAGGGAUUAAAUUUGGUCUACUAUAUGGAAAAUUACAUAAAUAUAACUUUUGAAGUAUCAGUAAUGCAAGUAGGUCUUAAAUGACUGUUUAUGCCAUGAACUAAUGCUUCCAGGAUGGAUGCAAGCCCCCUUUCUGUUUAGAUGGGGAAAUGGACAUAAGACAAAGAUUUCCUUAUUCCCAACUGCUUUAUACUUUUCAUAUAGAAUACACCUAAAAACUAGAUUCUAGACAUAUCUACAGGAGGACUUUCCAUGAUGGAAGAAAGGGGUUGGUCCUCAGGAUGUCACUGCAAAACUGAACAAGGCGGGUUCUUAUUUCAUCGCUGAUUUUUAUCAGUUGAGCUCCUCCUAAAUAAAUCUUUAAUUGCUGGGAGAACCUGAGUCUAGUUCUUAAGUUGAAUUUUAAAAGACGUACAUAAAGGGGCAGUACAGGAAAGUGGAUUGACAUGUACUACAUUCGCUUUAGUGUGACAAACCCAUAAUUGACUCAGUGAAGGUUUGCGGUUUUAUUUUGCUAAUUGUUUUUGUACUGAAAUUUUUGUUAUAUACAGUCCUACAGGGUGGCAGUGGUGCAGACAAACAAUGUCGAGUCCUCUUUGCCUACACGAAAACUUCACAAACUCACUGAAGAGUAAAUGAUCUAACUUCCCAAUCAGAAACAGAUCUAGUACCUGAUAGAAACUGCAGUCACUUAAGUUUGACAGACACCUCACAAAAUGUGCCUAUUUCCCGUCUUAACUAAACCAUCUUUCCUGAGUAAGGCAGAUCAAAAUCCAAACACUUAUAAAUACAAGAUGUACAUAGUCACGCAUAUGUAUUCUGUACAUAGUAUGGUGGUGCAGGCAUUAAUAGCUAUGCACUUCAGACCUUGACAGAAGACUUGGAGAAGAUGCUUUUCUGAUGUUGCUAGGCAACUCGAUUUCGGUUAGCAUAUAGUGUCUACACUCACCCCUCCUUGGAUGUGUCUCUGCUCAGCUGACGCACCUUCCACUAUUACCGCUUUUUUCCCAUUGCCUGUGAAUUUCCCACGACCCUGUCCCCUAAACCAGAAUUUUUUGUUCCCAGCAUAUCAACCAAACACCCACCACAAUUUGCAGUAUUAAUAUCAGUCAAAGGUCCUAUGUUUUUAUCAACUAAAAUUGCAUUUCCAGAAUCUUUUGUGCAUGAUCUAACCUAUAGUAUCUAAUUCUGUGGGGAUUUAAGUUUAGAGGGAAUAGGUUUGAAUCCACAAUUCCUGUGUGUCUACUGAGUUAGUGUAGCCAGGGGGGACUGGUUUCCAAAGCAUUCCCACAAUCGUCUGCAUUAGUUCGGGUCCUUCCUGUCUUAGCAUGACUUGUAGGGUACGUCAGUACUUAUUCAUGAGAGGCAGAACUUGAUUGAUUGCAGCAGAGUGACUGUCCGAAGCUCAUGGGACAUGCACAUGUACUGUAUGUAUCUCCAUAGAGACUGGAAUCCAUUUAUUGUAUGUAAAGUUUUAUGAACGGUUAUUUUAUAAUUUAUGUAUUUAAUAUAGGAAUCAAUGAACUCUGGUGUUUUAGUUUCUAUGAAAAAAAUAAAACAAACUGCAUUUUUGU
rnacentral:lncRNA from 1 species